GGGCCCGACCUGGUUUCGACGGGAGUUCUGAUGUGCGCUUGGGGCAUGUCGAGGCGGUACACCUCGUUAAUCCUGCCAAAGCAAUUUAAUUGCAAACGAUAGCUUCUACGGCGAAAGCCGUCUCGCAGCCUAAUUAAAAACUAGGUUCGAGUGUUGCAGCAGGGGACGUGGACUCUGCGCCGAGCCGGGCAACUGGUAGAGCAGCAACAUCAUCUUCCCACGGGUAGGGCGCGCGGAUGUCUGCGACGUGCGCCCGAAAUCAAGUGGACUGGUUGGCGGCAAGGGGGCUCACGCUCGUGUCGUCGGCAAGAUCAAAUCAGAGAGAUAAGCAUGUAGUCCUGACCACAAAUGGCUUUCGGACGCGGGUUCGAUUCCCGCCGGGUCCACCA
rnacentral:tmRNA from 2 species